UACGGACCGUACGAGGACGCGUAUCAUUUUGCUGCUGUUUAUCCAUUCCUAUCUCCUUUCUCUCUCAUACUUAACUCAUAAAUAUUCUCUUCUCGCCUUUGUACGUUCUUUUCUCCUACUCUAUUUUUCCACUUUUAUGUUCGCAUACUGCUCAUCGAAAACGCGAUCUUUCUCGCGCGUGAAACUUCGUCGACUGGUUCAUCACAUUUUUUGCCCUCUCUCUCUCUCUCUCUCUCUCUCUCUCUCUCUCUCUCUCUCUCUCUCUCUCUUUCUCUUUUUUUCUCUUUCUCUCGUUUUCUAUCUGUGUUUCGCCCAUUUUCUAUUAUGGAGUGUUCUAUGUGAACCGUGUUUUUUGCGUUACCGUGUUUCUUUCUAAUACAAGUUUGGAGAACAGGUCUCGUGAUUUCUUUUACCUACUUCCAAAGAAUUGAGUGCGUUAGAAACGAGAAAGACACGGUGUUUUUGAGAAAGAAAUCAGAGGAAAACUGAACUGUGACGAGGAAAAAGAUUGAAGAAGUAACAGGAUAUUUCAGUCAUAUCAAGUCUUUCUGCCCACAGAGUGAAACGUGCUACGCAAAAGUACAAUCGAAGAGAAGAUAGCAAGGAUCGACGGUGUACUGUGAACGCUUUGAAAUAUUAACCAUUUAGUGCUUAUAAACGACGACGAAUUUGCUUAAAAGUUCGUAGUAAGUUUUAAUUUGAACGAAUCGGUGAAGAAAGUAAGGCAGAAGAAUUAGAAAAAAGAAAGUAUCAGAGAAGAAAAAAGAUAAGUGCAUCGAGAAAAAGAAAAACGAAUAUUGAGAAAAUAAUGUGACAGGCAAGUUGGGUCAAUGAGUCCAGGUGGUGUCCUGUGAUUCACGGUCAGUUUAGAAUGGAUCACGUGGACCAAUCCGUAACUGCACGUAUGGAGAAUAACGCGUCCUCGAACAUGUCUGUAGGUUCGCGAAUAACGAGGAAUUGCUCGCGGUGUCGAAAUCAUGGACAAAAAAUUGCCCAGAAGGGCCACGGAAAAGACUGUAAGUACCGCGAUUGCGUCUGUGAACGUUGUAAACUUUUUUCUGAUCGACGAAGCAUGAUGGCCAGGAAUACUGAAUUGAGAAGAACUAUGACUCAAGACGAGGAUUCAACAUCCCUCUCCAUAGAUGGAUCCUCGCUCGGUUCGGGUCCGCAAUCCGUGAAGAAUCUCGAAGGAAGUUACGACAGCAGCAGCGGCGACUCGCCAAUCAGCAAUCACGGAAGCAACGAAAUGCAGGACGGGAACAGCGACGUUGCUGGAAUUGCUUCCUCAAAAAAGGCACCAUCUUCAAAUCGUUCGCCAGCCACAACAUCUUGGCCACAAUGGCAGGCUGGGGCAGAUUCAAACGCAUCUUGGGACGCAUCCUCGACCUCGAACAGCGGCACCAACUCACGUACGAAACCGACGUGCACACGUUGCCGUAAUCAUGACGUUACCAGCAUUCUUAAGGGUCACAAGAGGUACUGCGACUUUAUUUACUGUCAUUGCGUUAAAUGCCGUAACACACUUAAGCGCCAGAAGCAGAUGGCAAAACAAACCGCACUUAAAAGGGCUCUUAUUCAAGACGAGGAACAAAUAAGAAAGUAUGGUAAGAGAGAUCGUAAUCUCGUUUAUUUGUCGAUGCAGCUGGUGAUGCCAGCGAUGCCUCCAGCAGUAGAAAACAAGCAUAUACCAACUGUCCCUCGACCAGCGUGGAGCGUCGAAGGCAGCUACGGUGGCAUCAAUGGCGUACUUAAUACUCCAACUCCAAGAAAAUUGCCAGUCGUAGAUACGCACUUGCCUCCUUCGAUCUAUCAGAUUCAACCACAGCCCAGCAUCAACGACGAAAUUAUAUUGGCAUACAGUAUGAAUCUCCUGCAACGAUUCCGACAUCCUAGUGAUAUGCUGACGCUAAUGUUUAGCACAGUGAAGAAUGCCGGUGCAAAUCUUGAAGAGACUCUCAGACGUAUCGAGGAAGCAAACUAUGAUCUAGAAAGGUUGGGUAUUUGGAAUAUGGCGAAAAAAUUUUGGGACGACAACAGGUCUUACUUUUCAAAAUACACACCGAUGACAGACAUCACAGAUGCACCAACCUACGAGGGACAAGCACCAUUCAUUGGGGAUCCGCCCCCACAACAUCCUGAACUCUUCAGGUUACUACCGCACCUCCAAAACGCCCACAUACCAACGAACGACAGCUCUUCGGAACAUCAUGCCAAGUAGCCGUGAACUUCAUCAAAGCAGCCGCCUCGCGAGCCAAUCGAGGGGGAACGCAGAAUUUGAGGGCUUUAACGGCUCUGCUUUAACGAUGACAACACUAUAAAAAAUCGAAUUUACGAGUACUGGCCAUCCUCCAACCCAUCUUUAUUCUUGUCGGUGGUCGACGACUACCUUGCUCGUUAAACGGAUCGAUCAGCAGGUAAAUCGGCAAGGAAAAACGACGGGAGACAAAAAGGCCAAAUCCAAAGAGGAUCCUCCAGGGUGUUCUGCUCGAGAGGAAAUGAUUUUCGACUCAAUCCUCGAUAAAGAAAAAUAGGAGGGUAAGAAAAUGAACAAUUCCACAUGCGAAUGCUGUCAAAAUUGAAAAAGUGAACAAAGGAUGUUUAUGGUAUAAAAUUCUAUUUUAUUUUUUGUUGAAUCGCGCGAUUUCUUUUUCAUCAUAUUAAAAGAAUAAAUUGUAAAAGCGGGAGAAAUUCAAAUUCAUUAUUGGAAGAGUUUUUGAAAAGUAUAUUCUGUGGCUCUCUCGCUCUUUCAAUAGGUCAACGUUACUAUUAAUCGAUCUUUUUUUUCUUCUCAUUCUCUCUCUCUCUCUCUCUUAUUCUGUCUCUGUCUCUGUCUCUUUUUCUCUCUCUUUUUCUCUGAUACGGUAACGAAAAUAGCAUUUGUCUGCAAGUUGUCAAAUUAUACGAUAAGUAUACGUGUAGUAUAUACGUUAGUAGUAUAAACAUGUAGUUAUGUCGAACGGAGAGAAGAUUCUCUCGGGUUCCCUAAUUUAAAAUCGCAGUCUCGAGACUGUUAACUAUUGAGAAUAAAUGACCUUCGUCACUAUACGUUGGGGAACAAAAUUACCCGAGAAAAUCUUAAAAUAUAUAACUUGUUACGAGCCGCUUACGAGCUCUUGCAAGAAGUGCUGUCUGGAAUACAGUUGUAAUUGUAAGAGAUGAAUACAAAGCCUAGGAAUUUUUGGAUUCCGAGGAAUUUUAAAUAAUAGAUCGAUCUAUAAAGCAAUUGUGUUAGGUAAGACCUCGAUAUCAUUGCCUCUUUUAUUUCAAAUAAAGUCGAAGUAACUGAAACUUUACUAAACUACUUUAUUGAUUGUUGAUUACUCAAAUCUUAAAUAAAAUGAAUUUGAAGUAGUCUUGAAGCAAACAUUGAAAAGGUUCUGUAAAACUGCAUUCCUGGAUAAAAUAGAUAAAGAAAACAUAGAACGAGGAACAUAAAGAUGAGGCAAAUUAAAUCCCGUGUAUCGUGUAUUCGUCUCACUAAUGUAAUAAAUUCUUGCGUAUCGAUGCCAUAUUUUUUGUUUUUAAAGAAUUUAACCAUAUUAUAAAUCUCACAUCUUUACUGUUUAUAAGGCCAUACGUUUGGGAAAAGUCGUUUUAAGAAAAUAAAUAAGAGCAUUUAAAAUAAGAAAAAAGAAACAAAAAAGUAAAAAAAAAAAAUUUUUUGUUAAGCAAGGAAAGAACGAUUAUUCGUAAGAAUCAUCAAGAAUGAGAUGAGAAUAGAAAGAUCGAAAGAAUGAAAAUUAGAUUUCUUUUUCCCUCUUUCUUUCUCUCUCUCUCUCUUUCUCUCUCUAUCUUUCUCUCUCUCUCUCUCUCUCUCUCUCUCUCUCUCUCUCUCUCUCUCUCUCUCUCUCUCUCUCUCUCUCUCUCUCUCUCUCUUACGAUUUAUGAAUGUACCGAAAUUUUUAGUGCACUGCCGUACAGAAGAUAAUGUUAAUAUCAAAAAUCAUUUUCAUAGAAUUGUUUAGACUUAACAAUAUAUAAUAAUGACAAUGAUGUUUAAAUAAGAAAGGUAUGAUACAGACAAACACACCUAAUCGUAGAUUAUGAUUUCUAAGUAAUACAUGUCUCUAUGAAAGAGUCUUUCUUUCUAUUUGAAUUUUAAAUCGAUUUCUUCUGUUCUGUAUAUUUCCACAUAACCGUAUUCUUUUCACGCAAAGACUAGCUCUCUAAAGGAUAAUAUAUAUAUACAUAUAUAUAUAUAUAUAUAUAUAUAUAUAUAUAUAUAUAUUGCAUUAUCGUUACAAACGAUUUUUGAUGCUCUAUGUUAAUCGGUAUCGAUUUAAUAACAAAUUUAAGAGUAAAACUUUAGAGAGAAGAUAGAAUAGCGUCACGAGUCAGAGUGUAAUUUCUUUUUUUAAUAAAUAGAUAUUUCAAACACAUGCGAGUAAAAUAAUAAUAGUUCUUAAAUAAAAAAAAUAAGACGUUCUAUACGAAUGGAUAAUAAAUUCGAAAGGAUUGUCGAUGACGUAUUUAUAAGAAACGCGUCAAUGUGACUUAUGAUUUUCUUUCUACAACAACGGUGAAAACGUUGAACGAUAAAAAAACUGACGUGAUUUUUACGUAUCUACGUCCGACAGAUCAAUAAUAAUCGUGCUAUAAUUCGGAUCGAUCAUAGCAUAUAAUAAAAUAAUACAGCUCGGAAAGUUUCUUAUUUCUUCUUUCUACAGUGUGCAGUACAUAUGUAUGUAUAAGCGAAAGUACAGCACGGCACGUGCACCGAAUAUGAAAAAGUGCGAAUGAAUGUUGUGCGAGAGGAUUUUGCACAUCGUAAAACCGUACCCGUUUUUGUUUUUUAUAGCUUGUAACCAGUCGGCAAAGAAUGUGAUGACUUAAAUGAAAAGAAGUAGGAUCAAUGCACCUAUAUUUAAUACGAUCUUACCUACCUGUAUUCAUACAUUCUUGUCCGUGUAGUUAUUUAUUCUACGAUCUUCGGAGAUAGAUCAUUUGUGCUACGAGGUAAAAGAAAUACAACGUUUCAUAGAAAAAAAGUAUGUUGAAAUAAGUAUAUGAGUGAAAAGAAAUAAAACAAUGGAAAGAGAAAAAGAGAUAGGAUCUCGAGACAUGUAAUGAUCGUUCUUCAAGGAUCGACUCUACUUUACGUACUUUUAAUUGUUAUACAUAUUAUAGCAUACAAAUAAAUGCUAAUAAAAUCAA